AACGAACGCUGGCGGCACGUUUUAAGCAUGCAAGUCGAAUGGCAGCAGGGGCAACUCUGUGAGAAUGGCGAACGGGUGAGUAACACGUAGGUGAUCUGCCUUGAGGAUGGGGAUAGCCUGUGGAAACACAGGGUAAUACCGAAUGAGCUGACGAGACUUUGGUUUUGUUAGUAAAGGUGCUACGGCACCGCCUUGAGAGGAGCCUGCGGCUGAUUAGCUAGUUGGUGGGGUAAGAGCUUACCAAGGCGACGAUCAGUAGCCGGCCUGAGAGGGUGUACGGCCACACUGGAACUGAGACACGGUCCAGACUCCUACGGGAGGCAACAGCUAAGAAUCUUCCGCAAUGGGCGAAAGCCUGACGGAGCGAUGCCGCGUGAUCGAUGAAGGUCGAGAGAUUGUAAAGAUCUUUUCUACAUGAGGAAUAAGUCUGGGAGGGAAUGCCCGGAUGAUGACGUUAGUGUAGGAAUAAGCCCCGGCUAAUUACGUGCCAGCAGCCGCGGUAA
rnacentral:rRNA from 1 species